rnacentral:rRNA from 1 species
CGGAUAACACCUGGAAACAGAUGCUAAUACCGCAUAACAACUUGGACCGCAUGGUCCGAGUUUGAAAGAUGGCUUCGGCUAUCACUUUUGGAUGGUCCCGCGGCGUAUUAGCUAGAUGGUGGGGUAACGGCUCACCAUGGCAAUGAUACGUAGCCGACCUGAGAGGGUAAUCGGCCACAUUGGGACUGAGACACGGCCCAAACUCCUACGGGAGGCAGCAGUAGGGAAUCUUCCACAAUGGACGAAAGUCUGAUGGAGCAACGCCGCGUGAGUGAAGAAGGGUUUCGGCUCGUAAAACUCUGUUGUUAAAGAAGAACAUAUCUGAGAGUAACUGUUCAGGUAUUGACGGUAUUUAACCAGAAAGCCACGGCUAACUACGUGCCAGCAGCCGCGGUAAUACGUAGGUGGCAAGCGUUGUCCGGAUUUAUUGGGCGUAAAGCGAGCGCAGGCGGUUUUUUAAGUCUGAUGUGAAAGCCUUCGGCUCAACCGAAGAAGUGCAUCGGAAACUGGGAAACUUGAGUGCAGAAGAGGACAGUGGAACUCCAUGUGUAGCGGUGAAAUGCGUAGAUAUAUGGAAGAACACCAGUGGCGAAGGCGGCUGUCUGGUCUGUAACUGACGCUGAGGCUCGAAAGUAUGGGUAGCAAACAGGAUUAGAUACCCUGGUAGUCCAUACCGUAAACGAUGAAUGCUAAGUGUUGGAGGGUUUCCGCCCUUCAGUGCUGCAGCUAACGCAUUAAGCAUUCCGCCUGGGGAGUACGGCCGCAAGGCUGAAACUCAAAGGAAUUGACGGGGGCCCGCACAAGCGGUGGAGCAUGUGGUUUAAUUCGAAGCUACGCGAAGAACCUUACCAGGUCUUGACAUACUAUGCAAAUCUAAGAGAUUAGACGUUCCCUUCGGGGACAUGGAUACAGGUGGUGCAUGGUUGUCGUCAGCUCGUGUCGUGAGAUGUUGGGUUAAGUCCCGCAACGAGCGCAACCCUUAUUAUCAGUUGCCAGCAUUAAGUUGGGCACUCUGGUGAGACUGCCGGUGACAAACCGGAGGAAGGUGGGGAUGACGUCAAAUCAUCAUGCCCCUUAUGACCUGGGCUACACACGUGCUACAAUGGAUGGUACAACGAGUUGCGAACUCGCGAGAGUAAGCUAAUCUCUUAAAGCCAUUCUCAGUUCGGAUUGUAGGCUGCAACUCGCCUACAUGAAGUCGGAAUCGCUAGUAAUCGCGGAUCAGCAUGCCGCGGUGAAUACGUUCCCGGGCCUUG